GAUAGAGGAAAGCAGAAUUUCUAGUGUAGAGGUGAAAUUCGUAGAUAUUAGAAAGAAUACCAAUUGCGAAGGCAGCUUUCUGGAUCAAUACUGACACUGAGGAACGAAAGCAUGGGUAGCGAAGAGGAUUAGAUACCCUCGUAGUCCAUGCCGUAAACGAUGUGUGUUAGACGUUGGAAAUUUAUUUUCAGUGUCGCAGCGAAAGCGAUAAACACACCGCCUGGGGAGUACGACCGCAAGGUUAAAACUCAAAUGAAUUGACGGGGACCCGCACAAGUAGUGGAGCAUGUGGUUUAAUUCGAAGAUACGCGCAGAACCUUACCAACACUUGACAUGUUCGUCGCGACUUUAAGAGAUUAAAGUUUUCGGUUCGGCCGGACGAAACACAGGUGCUGCAUGGCUGUCGUCAGCUCGUGUCGUGAGAUGUUGGGUUAAGUCCCGCAACGAGCGCAACCCUCACUUUUAGUUGCCAUCAUUAAGUUGGGCACUCUGAAAGAACUGCCAGUGAUAAGCUGGAGGAAGGUGGGGAUGACGUCAAGUCCUCAUGGCCCUUACGUGUUGGGCUACACACGUGCUACAAUGGUAUCUACAACAGGAAGCAAGACGGCGACGUUAAGCAAAUCCUUAAAAGAUACCUCAGUUCGGAUUGCACUCUGCAACUCGAGUGCAUGAAGCUGGAAUUACUAGUAAUCGUGGAUCAGCGUGCCACGGUGAAUGCGUUCCCGGGUCUUGUACACACCGCCCGUCACACCAUGGGAGUUGGUUCUACCUUAAGGCAAGGUUUUAAACCCUUGACCACGGUAUAGUCAGCGACUGGGGUGAAGUCGUAACAAGGUAACCGUA
rnacentral:rRNA from 1 species